AUGAACACAGGUAUUUCGAGGCCCAUGUGUGUCAAUCCCGACCUCCGCUUUCCCCUUUUCCCAUCGAGGGCCACCGCCGCUGCUUCGUCUUCUAUCUCUCCGGAUCCCCAUCGGCACCUGCUGGAUGGUGCUCCGGGAACAGGGCCGCACGGAGGCCCUCCUCCCAUAGGAUGUGCAGAUGCGGCGCGCCUUGCAGUGGCUGUUCGGGAUGAGCGCGGGCGCGACAACCUUGUCCCAGUCGAUGAUGGCAGCGGCGAACGCCGAUGCUCCUUCUCGUCCUCUACCUCCAAGGACGCGCACCGGUACAGCUUAGGCACCCCCGUCCCCAAAUCCCGUCCACCCAUCCGGCGUUGUCCAGCUCAUCCUCACGCUCGUGGAUUCGCCUCCUCCUGUACGCGACACUUGAAACGUGGACGUGUAAUAAACGGCCGCUCCUUGAUUGUUAUUUUGAACAAAACUCCCCCUUAA
rnacentral:rRNA from 1 species